GGAAAGGGAAGGCUGCUUUGAUCUUUGAAAAUUAUGACUAUAAAUAAUGCCUAUUCAAAUAUUGGCUCAACAGUGAUUGCUUUUGAGUUGUUUUUAGAAUCUUUCUAAAGCCCUCUUUCCUCCUUUGGAUGUGUUAGAUGCUGAUCAAAUUCAAAUUCCCACAUCAUAUGUAUAUAUCUGAAGUAUAUUUGACAAACAGAUGCUGUACUGUAUCUCAGCACUCCUCUGCAACCUUCCCACAGAACAGACUUCUAAAGGAAACAUUUGGCCAGAGGACAAGGCCCAGCAAACAUGCAUUCUUUUUACUACUAUUCCAGUAUAACUCCUGGCUGGUGUCAAACUCCUGA
rnacentral:lncRNA from 1 species